AUAAAUGCCACGUCAACAAUUCACAAUGUAAGUACAAGCCAUCCCUGUGACUGAAUGCGCAUUCUACCGAGCAGUUGGAGUGCAGCUUGAGGAUUCCCACCGACAGAGUAACCCAUCACCGAAGUAGAGUAAAAUCCAAACCCAAGCUUAUUUGUUGAGAAACGUAGGCCUCAUAUAAUUGUCUAGUAAUUAAUAAAUCAAUCUUGAAGAUGGUCAGGAAGAUAACGCGAUUGUGGUGGAACCCAAUUUGUUGGCUUGCCGGCUAGCCCAAUGGAAGAACUCAAGGCAAGAGUGGACAUGAUUCUUACUAUGCCAUGAAAUGACGAAGCACCUGCAGAACUAAUGACACUGUGAAAGCUCAUCCACCUCGUUUUUGCCGCUUAAAAUCCCGAAAAUUCAAUCCAAGAUUCCCUUCUUUUGACUUCCUCUUUUCUUUCUUUCUUGGCAGCCCAGCCAUAGGAGGGAGGAACUUCUUGCAGCAGUGACAACAUACAUGAAAACCCUUCUCUAAUUUUAAAAUCAGAGCCCUUAUAAUGUUACGAGCAUUGACUUCCCAUCUUGUAGCUUAUCUAAGCCCAGCCCAUUUUCACCUGAUGUUGAUUAACGUUUGAGCUAAAGACUGAGGAGAUUUAGCAGAGAGUUGAUGCAUUUCUGAGUAAUUUUGCUAUUGAUUCUUAUCAGGUUUUCGUCUGUUAUUUCAGCUUGGUUGCAUCUUGCGUUGCAUGGGAGUUGGAACAUAUGCUAAUAAAUAACUAUAGAUUAAAGUUUCUUUAUUGCUUUCUGUCAAACAAUUGUUGGGAAUGUUUUCUCAAGUGCAAAUUUUCAUGUUUAUCGCGAAGCGAAUUUUGUGGCUGAUUGGCUUGCCUCCCAUGCAAUGUCCUUCCAAGUUGGGACUCACAUUUUGGCCUCCCUUCCAGCUGGUGUGCUUCCUUGGUUACAACAUGAUUGUUCUGGGGUGUCUUACCUCGUUCAUUGAUUUUUCUACACGUCUCUUCUUUCUUCUGCGUUCCUCUUCCUUUCCGAAAGCUAGAUAGGAAAAACGACGUCCUCUUUCCAUUGUGUGCGUCGUUGCCGCGUGGUUGCUUCCAUGGAGAUUUUAUUUUCGUAUCCCACCCUUCAAUCAAGGAUCAUAUUUUCAACUGCUCUGCUGUACUGUGUAGAGAGGUUACUUGGGUUUUUGGUUUCUCCACCCUUCCUCUUCCUCGUCCUCUUCUUCUUCUCUUGCAUAGUUUUCCUUGACAACUUGGGAGAAUAAUUGCCUAAUUUAUUGUCAUAUUGUUUGAUCCAAUUGUAUGUCGCUCUUUGGUUUAGUUUGUUGACAGAUUAGUUGUUUUUAUUUUCUCAUGUUUAUUUGCUGAUUGGUAGCACGCAUAUAUGUUAGAGUUGCUUUGCGUGUUCAGUUUAUUCUUUGGUUUUCCAUUGUUUAUUGUUUGAUUUAAGUCGAGAAGCUUUUGUGCUUCAUUCUUUAUUAUUAUUAUUUUUUUUUGGUGCUGUGGGAAGUAACCAGAUUAUGUUGCUUUCAGUCCUACACACAGCAAUACGUUACUAUUGUGCACUUUCCUGAGGAGUAAAGGAAAAGAAGACGUUGUGGUACCUAUGCUAAUAAACUAUAUUAUUUAUUAGAGAUCUUUGUAAUCCAUUAUUAAACAAUUAAUAUUAACUGUUUCCAGAGACAGCAUGCAAAAUAUAUUGAAGGGUUUUUC
rnacentral:misc_RNA from 1 species